rnacentral:rRNA from 1 species
UACGUAGGGUGCGAGCGUUGUCCGGAAUUACUGGGCGUAAAGAGCUCGUAGGUGGUUUGUCGCGUUGUUCGUGAAAACUCACAGCUUAACUGUGGGCGUGCGGGCGAUACGGGCAGACUAGAGUACUGCAGGGGAGACUGGAAUUCCUGGUGUAGCGGUGGAAUGCGCAGAUAUCAGGAGGAACACCGGUGGCGAAGGCGGGUCUCUGGGCAGUAACUGACACUGAGGUGCGAAAGCGUGGGGAGCAAACAGG